UUUGGGCAAUGGGCGAAAGCCUGACCCAGCAACGCCGCGUGAGGGAUGAAGUAUUUCGGUAUGUAAACCUCGAAAGAAUUGGAAGAAUAAAUGACGGUACCAUUUAUAAGCUCCGGCUAACUACGUGCCAGCAGCCGCGGUAAUACGUGGGGAGCAAGCGUUGUUCGGAUUUACUGGGCGUAAAGGGCGCGUAGGCGGCGCGGUAAGUCACUUGUGAAAGCUCUGAGCUUAACUCAGAACGGCCAAGUGAUACUGCUGUGAUAGAGUGCGGAAGAGGCAACCGGAAUUCUUGGUGUAGCGGUGAAAUGCGUAGAUAUCAAGAGGAACACCUGAGGCGAAGGCGGGUUGCUGGGCCGACACUGACGCUGAUGCGCGAAAGC
rnacentral:rRNA from 1 species